GAUCCGGUGCUUGCACCGGGGAUUAGUGGCGAACGGGUGAGUAACACGUGAGUAACCUGCCCUUGACUCUGGGAUAAGCCUGGGAAACUGGGUCUAAUACCGGAUAUGACUCCUCAUCGCAUGGUGGGGGGUGGAAAGCUUUUGCGGUUUUGGAUGGACUCGCGGCCUAUCAGCUUGUUGGUGAGGUAAUGGCUCACCAAGGCGACGACGGGUAGCCGGCCUGAGAGGGUGACCGGCCACACUGGGACUGAGACACGGCCCAGACUCCUACGGGAGGCAGCAGUGGGGAAUAUUGCACAAUGGGCGAAAGCCUGAUGCAGCGACGCCGCGUGAGGGAUGACGGCCUUCGGGUUGUAAACCUCUUUCAGUAGGGAAGAAGCGAAAGUGACGGUACCUGCAGAAGAAGCGCCGGCUAACUACGUGCCAGCAGCCGCGGUAAUACGUAGGGCGCAAGCGUUAUCCGGAAUUAUUGGGCGUAAAGAGCUCGUAGGCGGUUUGUCGCGUCUGCCGUGAAAGUCCGGGGCUCAACUCCGGAUCUGCGGUGGGUACGGGCAGACUAGAGUGAUGUAGGGGAGACUGGAAUUCCUGGUGUAGCGGUGAAAUGCGCAGAUAUCAGGAGGAACACCGAUGGCGAAGGCAGGUCUCUGGGCAUUAACUGACGCUGAGGAGCGAAAGCAUGGGGAGCGAACAGGAUUAGAUACCCUGGUAGUCCAUGCCGUAAACGUUGGGCACUAGGUGUGGGGGACAUUCCACGUUUUCCGCGCCGUAGCUAACGCAUUAAGU
rnacentral:rRNA from 1 species